CUUGUGGGUGUCCAGGCGCCAGAUCGAGACCGUUCGUGUCUCGCUGGUAGCUCAUGGGUGGAACAUUGACAUUGGUGCAGCUGGAACCGGUGGGGUCCUAGUACGUCGUUCGCAAGAACGACUGGAACGGGCUUGAUCGGGGAGGGUUGCACGUGCACGCUGUUGGGUCCUGAGGGACCGGGCCGGCGCCGUGAUGGUGCUGGGCUGAACCUCUGGACCCUUUCGUCGUUGCCUUUCGGGGUGCGGCGGGGGGUACCGCCCGUACUUUGAGAACUACACAGUGGACGCGAGCAUCUUAGAUUCAGGCCUUCGUGCCUGGAUCACAAAAGAUCUGACUGCAUCUCUUCGGAGAUGUGUAGAUCAUUGGUCAAUCUCGGUACUUCGGUACCGCGAUCGAUUCAUACUCAUGUGAU
rnacentral:misc_RNA from 1 species